GCCGCUUUAGCUCAGUUGGUAGAGCAGCUGUCUUGUAAACAGCAGGUCGUCCGUUCGAUUCGGACAAGCGGCA
rfam:Xanthomonadaceae bacterium SCN 69-48 ABS98_C0031, whole genome shotgun sequence.